CCAUCCUCUACCUGAGCCAGACGUCCGCCCGGCCAGGGGACUCCGUGCAGCUCCAGUGCUCUGUGUUCUCCAGGGCCCCGGCCACCCGCAUCAUCUUCUGUAAGGACGGGAAGGAGGUUUCAUCCCGGAGGGGCAUAUUGCGAAAACUCACCUACGACUUUGACCAUGUGGUGUCUGGGGGUAGCACCGGGAAUUAUUCCUGUGGGUACGAGAUCAAGGACAGCAACAACCGGGUGAUCAGAUCCCAGCUCAGCCCUGCCCAGCACCUAAGUGUCACUGGUGAUAACUCCAGCAGCGGUGGUGUCGGGGGUUCCUCCCCACAAGGUGAUGACUCCAGCAGUGGUGGUGUCGGGGGUUCCUCCUCACAAGG